rnacentral:rRNA from 1 species
CCAAGGGAUGACCUCUAGUACGGCGAGUGAGCGGCAGAGCUCANAUUUGAAAUCUGGUCCUUUAGUUGCCCGUUGUGUGUUGUGUUCAUUGUGUCUUUGAGUGUGUCCUUGUCUUGGUUCCUGGCACCAUUGCGUCUGAGAGCGUGAUGCUCCCCUCUGGCGAGCUUUCCUAUUCUCCGGACGACUUUUUCUGAUAGUCAAUGUGUUUGUGAAUGCGUGGCAAAUUGCGUGGUAAGUUCCAUACUGAGCCAGAGUCUUGUCGCGAGACCGUAUCUGUGAACGAUACAUUGAUGGACUUAUGAAAAGAACUUUGACAACACAGUGAAAUUGUUCAUGGGGUUGGGUAUUGGGCUCGGCAUUUGGUCUGCCCUGCUGUUCUUCGCGUGCGCUCCCCUCUGUGGGGCUUGUGGCUCUCCAUCAUUUCUCUCCGCCGGCGACUGUUCUGGCGACCGGGUCUCUCUCUGAGUGUUGUAGCUCCCUCCGUAUUGUUCUAGCUUAUUGGGUACUGCUCGCUGGGAUUGAGGACCGCGCUUCACCGCGGAUGUUCGCCUGUCGGUUAACUGCCACCCGUCAUGCUACCCUCACUGCGGAUGCUUGCGUCUGUGCCACUGUCUGGUUGUGAAACUCAUCCUCGGUCUGACCCUUCACGUACGUUGUCGCCUUCUCGUGCUCUUUCUACCAUGCUUGAUGUUAUCAGAUUAGUUUGAGUAACACCAUAGAUGUUGAGAUCCGCCUGAUGGUGAUGUAUCCCUAAGUAACUCGAAUCCAGACUAAACUCUGGUCGAAGCUCCUAAUCGUUCUUACAUUCUGGUCAUUCGUCCAAUUUACUUAUCGGGCCGUCUGACUACUCGUUCCUGCCAAUAUCUCGCUCCUGACAACAUAUCCUCCUAGCUAUCUUAUGCUCUUAUCCGUUUGAUUAGGUAUCUCGAAUGAUUAAUGACCUUGGCGAAGACACGUCCUUGACCUAUUCUCAAACUCUCUGUUGGUUUGAUGUCCUCGUAGCUUAGUUGGACGAGCACUUAUGAGUGCAUAUUUGUAGGGGGAACCUUUUUGGUAGACAAAAAA